UUGAAGGCUGAGGGAAUAUGCAGAGGUCAAACACUGUUCACAUCAGUGGAUGGCAGUAGCCUGGUGCGCAUCUUGGACUUUGUACAGUGGUAAAGGGAAACAUGGAACUAUGAGAAGAUGAUGUAACUUCAUCAAUGAAGAACACGUUCUCCUUCAAAAGGCUGUAGUACUACUAAGAGCUGUGAAAGGAUAUUGACACAGAUGCAGGUAAACCAAACUACACAAGAAGUUAAUAAAUAGAUGGUUGAGUGUCAGCAGUUAUAGCCAAAGGGCAAGGUGGACCUUGUGAAUAUAUUCUUCCUAUAAACAAAACAGCAUGUUUUGUAUAAUAUAUACCUUUGCCAAACGUCUAAAAUGGCUGGUGGCGUUUUUGGUUUGCUGAAAGUCUGAACCAUGCUUGUUGAUUCCUGCAGACUUGCCCCACUGAUAUCAAAUUAACACCUCAGGUCAUCUCAAAUCUGCUAGCUAACAUUUUCCUAUUUGAAUGCUUUUCUGUGGUUAUAAAGACAGGUGGAGGGAAACAAAUUACAGUGUAAAAAUUAUGUCAUGUAAAAAGAAAAAAAUAAAGUAACAACAGCAAUUUUAGCCUUCAAUUUCACAUGCAUUUCCACAUGAAAGUGCUUUAUAAAAGAAACACCUAACUAAAAAAAAAAAAAAAAAAAAAAACUAUUCACUACACUAAAAAUAUAACAAACACGUGUUACAAACAAAAUGUCCUUCAGUGUUUUGUCACUAAUAUAGGCAGGAAUGGAGUUUCACUGUCUGCAAAGCUGAAAGCCUUCUUACAGUACAUUGACUGUGACACUUUUUCCUUGAUAGAAAGAAA